UGGGGAAUAUUGCACAAUGGGGGAAACCCUGAUGCAGCAACGCCGCGUGAAGGAAGACGGUUUUCGGAUUGUAAACUUCUUUUCUUAGUGAAGAAACAAGUGACGGUAGCUAAGGAAUAAGCAUCGGCUAACUACGUGCCAGCAGCCGCGGUAAUACGUAGGAUGCGAGCGUUAUCCGGAUUUACUGGGUGUAAAGGGAGCGCAGGCGGGACUGCAAGUUGGAUGUGAAAUACCGCAGCUUAACUGCGGAGCUGCAUCCAAAACUGUAGUUCUUGAGUGGAGUAGAGGCAAGCGGAAUUCCGAGUGUAGCGGUGAAAUGCGUAGAUAUUCGGAGGAACACCAGUGGCGAAGGCGGCUUGCUGGGCUCUAACUGACGCUGAGGCUCGAAAGUGUGGGGAGCAAACAGGAUUAGAUACC
rnacentral:rRNA from 1 species